GACCUACGGGGGGCUGCAGUCGAGAAUUUUUCACAAUGGGCGCAAGCCUGAUGGAGCGACGCCGCGUGGGGGAUGAAUGGCUUCGGCCCGUAAACCCCUGUCAUUUGCGAUCAAACCUUGUUAUUUAAAAGAUGACGAGCUGAUAGUAGCGAAAGAGGAAGGGACGGCUAACUCUGUGCCAGCAGCCGCGGUAAUACAGAGGUCCCGAGCGUUGUUCGGAUUCACUGGGCGUAAAGGGUGCGUAGGUGGCGAGGUAAGUCGGAUGUGAAAUCUCGGAGCUCAACUCCGAAACUGCAUUGGAAACUACCUUGCUUGAGGGUUGGAGGGGGGACUGGAAUACUUGGUGUAGCAGUGAAAUGCGUAGAUAUCAAGUGGAACACCAGUGGCGAAGGCGAGUCCCUGGACAACUCCUGACACUGAGGCACGAAAGCUAGGGGAGCAAACAGGAUUAGAUACCCCAGUAGUC
rnacentral:rRNA from 1 species